rnacentral:rRNA from 1 species
AGAGUUUGAUCCUGGCUCAGGACGAACGCUGGCGGCGUGCUUAACACAUGCAAGUCGAACGGAAAGGCCCUUCGGGGUACUCGAGUGGCGAACGGGUGAGUAACACGUGGGUGAUCUGCCCUGCACUUUGGGAUAAGCCUGGGAAACUGGGUCUAAUACCGGAUAUACCUCAUGGACUGCAUGGUUUGUGGGGGAAAGCUUUUGCGGUGUGGGAUGGGCCCGCGGCCUAUCAGCUUGUUGGUGGGGUGAUGGCCUACCAAGGCGACGACGGGUAGCCGGCCUGAGAGGGUGACCGGCCACACUGGGACUGAGAUACGGCCCAGACUCCUACGGGAGGCAGCAGUGGGGAAUAUUGCACAAUGGGCGCAAGCCUGAUGCAGCGACGCCGCGUGAGGGAUGACGGCCUUCGGGUUGUAAACCUCUUUCAGCAGGGACGAAGCGCAAGUGACGGUACCUGUAGAAGAAGGACCGGCCAACUACGUGCCAGCAGCCGCGGUAAUACGUAGGGUCCGAGCGUUGUCCGGAAUUACUGGGCGUAAAGAGCUCGUAGGUGGUUUGUCGCGUUGUUCGUGAAAACUCACAGCUCAACUGUGGGCGUGCGGGCGAUACGGGCAGACUUGAGUACUGCAGGGGAGACUGGAAUUCCUGGUGUAGCGGUGGAAUGCGCAGAUAUCAGGAGGAACACCGGUGGCGAAGGCGGGUCUCUGGGCAGUAACUGACGCUGAGGAGCGAAAGCGUGGGGAGCGAACAGGAUUAGAUACCCUGGUAGUCC